rnacentral:tRNA from 1 species
GGGCCGGUAUAUCAGUCUGGAAGAUUACCGCCUUCGCAAGGCGGAGGCCGUGGGUUCAAAUCCCACCCGGUCCACCA